GGCGAGCGGCGACGCCAGUGACGACGAGUACGAAGAACCGUCACCAGAUGGCAACAGCUGCCUUUCUGCUCUGGUGAUUGUGGCGCUGCUGGGCGGCGUCGGUCUCCUCUUUGGCAUGAUUUCGUUACAAAGUGGCGCGCUGGAAGGGUCAGCGCCGUUGCCGCCGGGGCCGUCCGCCCGCCAGGCGCAGGUGGUCCUCGAGCACGGAGACGACUCUACCUCGCAGCCGCCGCCAGUCCCCGCGGACGGCGGCCCGGCACCGCCCGAGAGCUCGGCGUCGGCUGUCUCCUCCUCCGAGUCCGGACAGGCUGAGCCGGCGGCG